CCUACGGGAGGCAGCAGUGAGGAAUAUUGGUCAAUGGGCGUAAGCCUGAACCAGCCAAGUCGCGUGAGGGAUGAAGGUCCUAUGGAUCGUAAACCUCUUUUAUAAGGGAAUAAAGUGCGGGACGUGUCCCGUUUUGUAUGUACCUUAUGAAUAAGGAUCGGCUAACUCCGUGCCAGCAGCCGCGGUAAUACGGAGGAUCCGAGCGUUAUCCGGGUUUAUUGGGUUUAAGGGGUGCGUAGGCGGCUUUUUAAGUCAGCGGUAAAAGUUUGGGGCCAAACAUAGGAAUGCCGUUGAAACUUGGGGGCUUGAGUAUGUUUGAGGCAGGCGGAAUGCGUGGUGUAGCGGUGAAAUGCUUAGAUAUCACGCAGAACCCCGAUUGCGAAGGCAGCCUGCCAAGCCAUGACUGACGCUGAGGCACGAAAGCGUGGGGAUCAAACAGGAUUAGAUACCCUGGUAGUC
rnacentral:rRNA from 1 species